UACCAGCACCCCGAGUGGUCGGGACGUUUAUUGGGCCUAAAGCAUCCGUAGCCGGUUCUACAAGUCUUCCGUUAAAUCCAACUGCUUAACAGGUGGGCUGCGGAAGAUACUAUAGAGCUAGGAGGCGGGAGAGGCAAGCGGUACUCGAUGGGUAGGGGUAAAAUCCGUUGAUCCAUUGAAGACCACCAGUGGCGAAGGCGGCUUGCCAGAACGCACUCGACGGUG
rnacentral:rRNA from 1 species